rnacentral:rRNA from 1 species
GACGUAGGGAGCAAGCGUUGUCCGGAAUUACUGGGCGUAAAGAGCUCGUAGGCGGGAGCGUACGUCUGAAAGGAAAUCUCAGGGCUCAACUCUGGGGCUUUUUCAGAUACGGCGCUUCUUGAGUGUAACAGAGGAAAGCAGAAUUCCCGGUGUAGCGGUGAAAUGCGUAGAUAUCAGGAGGAACACCGAUGGCGAAGGCAGGUCUCUGGGCAUUAACUGACGCUGAGGAGCGAAAGCAUGGGGAGCGAACAGG